rnacentral:rRNA from 1 species
GGAGGGGGCGAGCGUAAUUCGGAAUUAUUGGGCGUAAAGGGCGCGUAGGCGGCCCUGCAAGUCAAAGGUGAAAUCCCUCGGCUCAACUGAGGAACUGCCUUUGAAACUGCAGGGCUUGAGUCCGGGAGGGGGUAGCGGAAUUCCCAGUGUAGCGGUGAAAUGCGUAGAUAUUGGGAGGAACACCAGUGGCGAAGGCGGCUACCUGGACCGGAACUGACGCUGAUGCGCGAAAGCGUGGGUAGCAAACAGGAUUAGAUACCCUGGUAGUCCACGCUGUAAACGAUGGGUGCUCGGUGUCGCGGGUAUCGACCCCUGCGGUGCCUUAGCCAACGCGUUAAGCACCCCGCCUGGGGAGUACGGUCGCAAGGCUG